rnacentral:lncRNA from 1 species
UGUCUGCCCAGACUUACCUCAGGGAUGGAGACCUGAGAGUUCUAAGCUGAAGGGAAACUGAGACUGAGAGAUGUCUGCUGCAAACACGUCCCCACCCACUAUGACCUGAGUGUGCCCCCAGGGCUCACUCUCCCCUGGCCUGCAGUGCUUUUUCUCUGGGUUUGCUGGAGAAUAGAGAUGGGAAAAGCUACAGUCUCUGAACCCAACUGAAACAGGCUGCCCUGCACUCUGGACAGACCGAUCCCUGGCAGUGGCAGGUGUGCGGAUCUGCAAGUGUGUGCAUGUACCUGAGCGUCCCACGGAGUGUGGGCUUGAGAGAAGGCACCCACCUUCUGUCAGCUAUCAGCUGACUUCACUUAAACAGCAAGGGAACAGAAGAGAGGAGAGGAAUGCUGGCUGGGACAUUCACAGACACCUUCCGAUCUGAGCUUCCAGGAUGCUUGGCCUCCAGUUCUAGGAAAGAUGGAGUCUGGGCACCAGUCAAGCAACCAUAGAGACACAAACCCAAGGCAGUCAGAGUCACAAUGACUGGGAGGGAAAUGGCUUCAAGGCCUGCCUGAGCCAGGAGCCACUGGCCCAAGAGGCUUCUUUAGGCCACAACUGAAACACAGGAAAAGAAGAGGCCCUGGCCUCCUGGGAGCUAGCUGGACUGCUGUGAGUUCAAGGGAAGAGCAGGAGAGAAGAGAUGAAGACAACUGUCUGCCAGAGUCUGGGGACAAGAGGGGGGGAUGUCACUCUGGCUGGGGCCACAGAGCCUGUGGAAAGCUGACACACCCCUCCCAGUUUCAGCUCUGCUCUUUAGAAUGUCAGAGGGGAAGUGUAAUUAAGGCCACGCAGCUGUGAAGGAUUAGUAUUCCAACCUGGAAAGCCUGAGUUUUAAUUAGUAAUUAGGCCUUUUCUGCAGAGCCUGCAAACAAGCAGAGGUUUGGUGACCUUUCUCCUGAAGGCGCAGUGACAGCCUGGCUGACACGCUGAUACACCUAGGGGCUUUUUCAGAGAGGCCUGGACGAGGCAUAAAAGCACCCUUACUCGUCACGGUGGGGCCGCCAGUGAGGGGCUCCUGCAGAUCCCUGCUCCCUACCUGGCUUCCCAGAGCUCACUGCCAGCACCCCCAAAAUCCAUCUGGGCCCUGGAAAUGACAGGUCUGGUGGCUUCUCCAGCAUGAGCCCAAGGUCACCACAUUUCCAUCAGGAGUCCCUGCAGAUGGGAAUCAGGAUGGGUCUGUGUCCAGAAGGCAGGUGAGCAGGACCUCAAGGAACAUGAGUCCUUCAGCUGGGCACCUAGAAUCACAUGGUCCUUCUGCUCCGUCUUGGCUAUCUAUCACCAUGUACAAAAAAAUCACCAGGCUUUUUCUGGCAGGCCUGACUCCCAACCUGUUCCCAAGAUGUUAGGAGAGGCCAUGAACCACAUGGGGUCUGUUGGCCAAGUCAUGACCAGGACCCAGGGCUACAGGUCCCACCUACUCUGCCCCAAGACAGGCCUCUGAACCCUCCUGUAGCUGCCUAGCCCCUGUUUGACCACAUUGCCCAGCCAGCAUCAUAGGGGACACACUUGCACCUAGGGUGUACUGGCCCACAUGGGCACAGAUGCCUUCACACCAUCCCAGGAAAGCACAAGCCCUGGGACACCGCUCAGGUCUAACCUAUGCCUCUCAGGGGACUCAGCCAAGGGUCUCAUUAGCUCUUGUCCACUUUGUGGGGUUCUAUAGCUAUGUCACAGGACAUGGACACUUAUGGUGCUUCCAAGUGUCUGUAUGCACCUCUCAGAGAGAGGACAGACCUGUUUAAAUUCAACAUCACGGUCACAUUAAGGUUGUUUGGGGACCUCUGUGUUUGUAUGUGUCCCACUCAUAAGGCCAGUGGGGCAGGUGACUCUGAGGCAUUGCCCCUGGUGGGUUAUUGGUCAGCACAGCCUGGGCAGUUACACACCUGGUUGGAUGCAGGUCGUAAUAUCAUAGACAACACAAUACAGGUCUAUUCCUGUAGCUCAUCCUUGCUGCUCAUUCCCAGCAAAGAGCCCUUCCCUGAGACCCAUCAGGCUAGGCCCUGGGGGGACAGUAGGAGGGAGGAGCCCCCCUUCACCAGAAUAAUGCAGUCUGCAGACUUCAUAGUAACUCAGAAGUGAGCUCUCCCUUCCAGCACCAUAUAAACUUUAAUUGGGCUUUUUAAAGGUCACGAAAACAAAUACUUUCUCAUAAAGAAACCAUUUGGGCACGCUCAAAAACGCACAGGUAACUGUCAGUGUGAGUUGAUGGUUCAUGCCAGGGAACAGACGUCUCUUGCACACAGGCAUAUCCGUACCUGGUGUACCCCACCUCUGGGCAUGGGGCUACUGUAACCAGCCAUGAGACUAAGGCUGGCACUGUGGGGUAGGCUGAGGUAGGAAGAAUGCCUUGGGGCUGGAGCUUCACACAGCCCUUCACGUCUUCGACCCUCACCUUCCUCUGUGUCACAGACUUGUUGGCCUUUCAGCAUCUGAGACGCAUAUAUUCUCAGAUGGGGAAACUGAGGCCCAGUGGGGUUAAGUCAUUCAGAAAGUGACUAUACCCAGUCCAGUCUCUGUAACUCCCAAGUGCGAC